GAAAGAACAACAAGAAGACUGUUACGCAAUGACAAUACAAACAACCAAAACGUACAAUAAAUGUCUUAUUUAGCAUGAAUGACCACUGCGUCGUCGGUUUGUAUUAUAAGAAAAGAAAACUAUAUAACGAUUAAGAAAACCGCUGGUGCUUUUGUUUGUUUGCUGGCUACAUACUCAUGCCUUUUCAACAACUACACGACAAGUUUUGACAUUUCACAGUCAGAGGUUGAGUCACUAAUUGAAGAAAGUGGAGCCAACAGUCAUUUAAUGUUGUGAUGAAAUGAAACAGAUGUUUUCUUCCAUGCUGUAACAUACAUCAGAAAAAAAUUAAUAAUUGGAAAAAAUGCAAGGUUGGGCAGGUUUAUUUGGACAAAAUGACUGGUGAAGUCCAGCAUAUGUCAUACACAAGUACAAAAAGUAAAAAACACAUGAGUGAAUCAAUAAAUGUGUUUAGAGAAUGGAUGUCCUGGAUGAGAGGGAAGCUGUGUUUUGGUUGAAUUUUUCUUUUUUCAUUCAACUGAAUGUUACUAUUAUUACAAUUGUUUCAAUGUUUGCCUUUACUGCUAACCAAUAAAUGUCUAUUAAUAACACAACAGUAUGCUGUACCAAAAAUAUUCCCCACUGUGCUUAAAAAUAAAUCAUUAUAUCGAAAAAGACACUAAAAAAAACGCGAGACAAAAAGACAGACAGAAUAUCACAACAACCUCUAGCUUUACGUUUAGGUAAUGAGCAAUAUCUCAAAGAGCAUACUGAUGUCAUAAUAUGGAGCGAACGACCUCAAGAACUUUGAACUGUGACAUCAGCCAGCUUUGGGAAAUAUAAGCAACUCUCAAUUCCUCUCUAAAACACAGAAGUCUGCAUAACACUUACACAGUCUGCAACAAAUCAUCCAUGCAAAAACACUUUACAGUCCAACAACAGGGAACCCUGGAAUGCGUUGACAGCACUCUCGCAGCCCGAUGACCUUCACAAUAACUUUUAAUGACAAGAAGCCUGUAAACGCAGCCGCUCUAUAGUUACUACAGCUUGAGCGUUUCCCAUUGAAAGCCAAAUUCCGAUCAUAACGGUCCCGCUCUUUCCUCUGGCGCAUGCAGCAAAGCCGACUGCACAGCAUGUUAACUGCACCUAACAUUCUUUAUGAUGCUAGCCCACAUUUUAAUUCGGCACCUAAAUGGGGCUUUGGCCACGACAGGCAUCUUGGGCUCGGUACAAAAGUCGUCACCAAAAAAUAUGAUGCUGGAAAGCGCGGCACACAAGGGCCUCGCUGCAUCAUCAGUUUCUAAACACAAAGUUCUAUUAACUGCUGAUCUUGAAUCCCCUGGAGUUUUAUUACAUUUCCUCAACAACAGACCGCACAGAAGACUAGUAUAAAAGCGCAGGAGACUAAUUUCCUUGCUAAUACACUGUUACAUCUAACAAAUGUGCUAACUUAAUUCUUUUUGUUGACUUUACUUAAAGUGCUAUUGUACUGAUCUAGAUCUAUUAAAUCUUACUAUUUGUGCUAAAAGUCCCAGUUACUCAAAUACCCGAAGCGUUUCCCGGUUUCUUUGAGUGCUGUGCGAGCCACGUGACCACUAACGUCAUCUGGGUUUGGACCGAGAACUUUCUGAUCGACGGCCAUCUUGUUUUGUGGAAGACCUCGGCGGAUAAACAAAAACUGUGUACGGGGGAUGGCUGAAUAAAAACAAACACGACAUUAAUAUUCUCCAGCCAACACAUACAGCCAUCGCUGGGAACCGCGGGACGAUGCCAGAGAGCUUGGGCUCGGAUGCACGUGUUGCUCUUCGUGAGGUGAUGGGGAUUGUUUCAGGACGACAGACUGAACAUGAAUAGCGAUUAGACAAAGCUGCGCUUUCCCAGCGGCCUUAGCUGUAGAAGAGGGCCAGCAGUGAGCUAACAGACGAGGGUUUGAAGUAGGGCAGCGAGGGGGACAACUUCACCGAUGACAGGACAAUGUCUGUAUGCUUAGUGUGCAUCCACAGCGAAGAAUGAGUACACUGUUGUUGCAGAAGUCGGUUUUCUUUCAAACGGUUUUGGGAAGAGGAACUGGCAACCCGAGAUAAGAGGAACACUUUUUUCACGCACACUUGCUUUCGAUAACCACAAGAAGGGACGUGAUGUACAAAACGCCAAGACAUGUAACAACUCCACCUUUUCAUCCCACCCUAAACAGCUCCUGGGUUAAAAGGGCACUUGCACGAAACCUAAUUUGGACAUUUUUAUGGAAGCUUAUAUAAAUAUGAGUUCUUAUGUGAGAGUGUAUUCGCAUUCUUGCCAUCUAUGUCUGUGUAAUGUCUCCACAUUCGGAAAAAUGCACUUCUGGCACCGAUUCAAAAUGAAGCCUUUUAUAGCUGUGACUUUCAUAGAAACUCAUAUGCCAUACAAAAAAAAAAAUAUAAAUAUUUGUUCUAAAAUGUUAAGCAGAUGUGUUAUUACCUGUAAGGCCAUGAGAAACAACAAACAAGCAAAAAAGCUUCUUAAACUCAAUUAAGACUAAGAUUUAUCUUCUAUUUAUCAGAAAAUCAACUUUACUGUUUUUUCUGUAGUCUGAUUGAAUUUUUUCUGAAAGUGAAAGGCUUUUUAGAAUAAUUCUACAAGUGUCCUCUUCAGGUUGUGGUCCACAUUUGUUCUUUUUGCAAUUUUCCCAGAUUUUUAUUAAGUAAACAUAAAAUAACGUUCAUAUUGUUAAAAAUAUUUAAUAGUGAACAUGGAUUUACUGUAAUGUUUACUUUAUUAUCCAUAAUCACGGUAAAAUUGAAAUGCCAAACAGGCUUUUCCCUAUAAAUGAUAAAAAACAGAACUUUGAUAAUUAAACUAUGGAUUAAAAUAUCAAAUAUAUUUGGAGAUAUAGACCGAUAUUUACACGAAAGCAGUCUGCUAUACUGUUCUAAGCUAUCAUAACUUCUGGCCACAUAAAUAUGAACUACUACAUCAAACUGGGCAAUUUUUUAAAUAAAACUGAGAUGUUUCUUUCUUC